rnacentral:rRNA from 1 species
UACGGAGGGGGCUAGCGUUGUUCGGAAUUACUGGGCGUAAAGCGCACGUAGGCGGAUCAGCAAGUUAGGGGUGAAAUCCCGGGGCUCAACCCCGGAACUGCCUUUAAGACUGUUGGUCUGGAGUCCGAGAGAGGUGAGUGGAAUUCCGAGUGUAGAGGUGAAAUGCGCAGAUAUCAGGAAGAACACCCGUGGCGAAAGCGGCUCUCUGGAACGGUACUGACGCUGAGACGCGAAAGCGUGGGGAGCGAACAGG